AUGGUUUCUCUCUCAGUCAAAUUCAGACCAAGCUGCUAAGGCUUUAGAGAAUGAAUUGUACAACACAUUGUCCAAAACACAGCACGAUACGCCAACACCACCAAAUCCAGAACCGAAAAGAAGAAAUUUACGUUCCUACAGCAAAAAGUCGCUGUUAAAUCUAAGUCGACCAUGACAGACGCUAUUAUAGCUCUAAGGCAAUAUUAGGAGGCUCCAAAUUCCCGGAGAGCGUCGAGCCUCUAGAGUUCUACAAGAUAUGCCUAGAUUCCAUGAAAGCUUUGAAAAGCAUUGCAAAGCAAUACUUUUGCGUUCCAGCAUCUUCCACGGCGUCGAGACGAUUUUCAGCAAAGCUGGCCAAUUCAUUACUGGAGCAGAACGAAAUUGACAAAAUGACGGCUACAUGGACAGAAAUAAUGAACCGGAAUAAUGGUGAAUUAAAUGAAAGUAAAAUGAAAGUGACCCAGCUUGAGCUGGAAAACAUGCAGCUGAAAACAAAUAAUUAGGCCAAAGAAGUCAAUCUGGUUGAGCUGAAGAACAACUAUUAUGCAAAAGUCAAGGAAUAUAUCAUGAUGGAAUAGAAAAUCAUAGGCAGUCACAGAACGAAAUUGACAAAAUGACGGCUACAUGGACAGAAAUAAUGAACCGGAAGAAUGGUGAAUUAAAUAAAAGAAAAAUGAAAGUGACCCAGCUUGAGCUGGAAGACAUGCAGUUGAAAACAAAUAAUGAGGCCAAAGAAGUCAAGCUGGACGAAUAAAGCUUAAUACAUUCUGAUGUUAUUAAAUUCAAUACUAAUUUUAAUCAUGUCUUGAAGGUUGAGCUGAAGAACAACUAUUAUGCAAAAGUCAAGGAAUGUAUCAUGAUGGAACAAAAACUUACUCAGACUGAGGCAAUAGUGCAUACAAUUAUUAACAAUAUAGUAAUUGUCAAUAGUAUCUAUAAUAAUUAAUUUUAGACACAAAUAUUGAUGGAGUGUGCCAUUCAAAACCCCCGACGACUUUAAUCGCGAAGCUGCUAAUAAGGUGUUAAGAGAGAGGCUUUUGGACAGUAGAGAACACUCAGCAACAGCAGAUGCAGCCUGUUCAUACAGGGGAAAUUUAUGCUGCGUCCGACGACGGUUCAACGAUUUCAAAUACAGCUGCAACUGCAGUUGCUACAAGAUUGAGAAUUCGUCGAAUUUAAUUUAAACAAGUAAAAAAAUUGCAUUUGCAUUUAUACAAUAGAUUCGCACAUCGUCUGCAAGGGAAUUGCAGAUUCGGUAUACCGAAGAUUUUUAGUUUACUGCAUUGUUAUCGCUUUUGUUUGAUUUUAUUGAAACAAAUGUCCAAGCUGUGUGAAUAAAUAAAAGAAACACAAC